rnacentral:rRNA from 1 species
UACAGAGGUGGCAAGCGUUGUUCGGAAUUACUGGGCGUAAAGGGCGCGUUAGGCGGCCUACUAAGUCAGACGUGAAAUCCCCAGGCUUAACUUGGGAACUGCGUCUGAUACUGGAAGGCUUGAGUGCGGGAGAGGGAUGUGGAAUUCCAGGUGUAGCGGUGAAAUGCGUAGAUAUCUGGAGGAACACCGGUGGCGAAGGCGGCAUCCUGGACCGACACUGACGCUGAGGCGCGAAAGCUAGGGGAGCAAACGGG